rnacentral:rRNA from 1 species
AUAACAGAGGGAAACUUCUGAUAAUACUGGAUAAGUUAGUAUAUCGCAUGAUAUGCAAAUGAAAGCUACGGCACUAAAGGAGAGCUUUGCGUCCUAUUAGCUAGUUGGUAAGGUAAGAGCUUACCAAGGCGAUGAUAGGUAGCCGGCCUGAGAGGGUGGACGGCCACAAGGGGACUGAGAUACGGCCCUUACUCCUACGGGAGGCAGCAGGU